GGGGAAACCCAGUGUGUUUCGACACACUAUCAUUAACUGAAUCCAUAGGUUAAUGAGGCGAACCGGGGGAACUGAAACAUCUAAGUACCCCGAGGAAAAGAAAUCAACCGAGAUUCCCCCAGUAGCGGCGAGCGAACGGGGAGGAGCCCAGAGCCUGAAUCAGUGUGUGUGUUAGUGGAAGCGUCUGGAAAGGCGCGCGAUACAGGGUGACAGCCCCGUACACAAAAAUGCACAUAUUGUGAGCUCGAUGAGUAGGGCGGGACACGUGGUAUCCUGUCUGAACAUGGGGGGACCAUCCUCCAAGGCUAAAUACUACUGACUGACCGAUAGUGAACCAGUACCGUGAGGGAAAGGCGAAAAGAACCCCGGAGAGGGGAGUGAAAUAGAACCUGAAACCGUAUGCGUACAAGCAGUGGGAGCCUACUUGUUAGGUGACUGCGUACCUUUUGUAUAAUGGGUCAGCGACUUAUAUUCAGUGGCAAGCUUAACCGUAUAGGGUAGGCGUAGCGAAAGCGAGUCUUAAUAGGGCGUUUAGUCGCUGGGUAUAGACCCGAAACCGGGCGAUCUAUCCAUGAGCAGGUUGAAGGUUAGGUAACACUGACUGGAGGACCGAACCCACUCCCGUUGAAAAGGUAGGGGAUGACUUGUGGAUCGGAGUGAAA
rnacentral:rRNA from 1 species